AGUGAACGCUGGCGGUAUGCCUAACACAUGCAAGUCGAACGGCAGCACAGUAAGAGCUUGCUCUUACGGGUGGCGAGUGGCGGACGAGUGAGGAAUACAUCGGAAUCUACUUUUUCGUGGGGGGUAACGUAGGGAAACUUACGCUAAUACCGCAUAAUACCUACGGGUGAAAGCAGGGGAUCUUCGGACCUUGCGCGAUUGAAUGAGCCGAUGUCGGAUUAGCUAGUUGGCGGGGUAAAGGCCCACCAAGGCGACGAUCCGUAGCUGGUCUGAGAGGAUGAUCAGCCACACUGGAACUGAGACACGGUCCAGACUCCUACGGGAGGCAGCAGUGGGGAAUAUUGGACAAUGGGCGCAAGCCUGAUCCAGCCAUACCGCGUGGGUGAAGAAGGCCUUCGGGUUGUAAAGCCCUUUUGUUGGGAAAGAAAAGCAGCAGGUUAAUACCCCGCUGUUCUGACGGUACCCAAAGAAUAAGCACCGGCUAACUUCGUG
rnacentral:rRNA from 1 species